rnacentral:lncRNA from 1 species
UUAUCCCCUAACCCAAUAAAUGUAAUCAAUUCCAAUGAAUCUUUCAGUCCAUUUUCUUCAUAAACACCUAAAAUCCUCUCAUCAUCUUGCAAUGUACCUAACUUGCGUAAUUCUCCUUCAAUAUCAUAUAAUCUUUUUCUUUCUUUUCUUUUAAAAUCAUCAACUUUCUUAUACAUAAUAUUUCCAUUCUCCAAAAUACCAAUAAAACUUGCAUCAAAGG